GGAACUGAGACUGAGAAACCAGGCUUGUCCAGGAACACACAGGGAGACAAGUUUUCACCCAGGAUGCCAGACCCUGGGGACCUCAUUUCCUAAUGCCUGAGUCCUAGUGAACCCCAAGACCCCCGGUCUGUUGGGCUUGGUGUUUGUUGAGCACCUACUAUGUGCCGGGCAUGAGGCUAAAGAUACAGCAAAGAACAAGAUAGACAAGGUCCCUGUCCUUAUAGAGCUGAUAUUCUGGUGUGGAGGGACAAAAAGCUCAAGAAAGCAAGAGGUAAACAAGGUUCUCUCAGAAAACAUGAAGUGCUGUGAAGAGAACCCGAGUGUCAGGACAGUCAGUCCUGCAGAGCAGGAUGGAAUGCACUGCCCGGUGGACGGAAAGCAGCUCCUGUGCCCAGCCCUCCAAUCCCUGCUACUGGCCCCACCUCUUGGACCUGUGGCUUCAGCGUGGCCUCCUGGGGCAGGUGUUCUAUGGCCUUCUCUGUAGGCCAGAGCUUUCCCCAUCACCACGCUGCCUCCUGCCCAGACUUCCCGCCUUAGGAAGAACCAGCCAGAAUGCUCCAGGUGCCUCCCAUCCAGCCCUGCCCCCCGCAGCACCUGGCGCUCCUCUCCCACCACUGGCCACAGGCUGGGGGCCAAGGGCCAGGCUCACAGAGGCUGUGGCCUGUGUAUAGGGAAAAGCAGAGACAGAGCCCCUACUCUGCCCAGCCCAGAAGAGACCUGGGUAGGGGCAGCCUUGGCCACCCUGCCAAGGAAGGUGACCUGGUAGCCCCUCAGUAUUUUCAACACCAGAGCUGUUUCUCAAGGGAAAUCCAAAUAGAAUCGCAGUGUGUAAAACAAAUGAAA